GAACAAUUAAAUACUUCACCGAAGACAGCAGGUGCCCCAGAUCCAUACCCGGGACUUAAUGACCUGCCCAGGAUGAAGACUUGCAUGACAAAGUCCCAAUGGGACGCAUGCCCUUAAACGGGAUGAUAUUGUCAAAUUUUGAAAGUCUUUGCCUGGUACACGGGUAAAGACUUUUUUGAUAUCUUU
rfam:Chloroflexi bacterium GWB2_49_20 gwb2_scaffold_53, whole genome shotgun sequence.